rnacentral:lncRNA from 1 species
AUUCAGUUCCGUUGUGGUCCUCUUCUUCACCACAUGCCAACAAAGUUCUUCACAAUCUUCGAGACUAGAGCAUCGCAGGUAUAGGACAAUGGAAGAGCUGGAUGCCUUAUUGGAGGAAUUGGAACGCUGCACCUUUCAGGACAGUGAGGAAUAUUCAAAUCCAGUUUCUUGUCACCUGGAUCAGCAAUCCACAGAGGAGAGCAAGAUUCCCCAAACUCCAAAGACCUUGUCAUCGCAGGGUAACACAAGUCCCUUGAAGGUAACAUUUGAACUAUUGUAGUGUUGUAGACAAUCAAGUGUGACAACAUUUCUAAAAAUUGUAUUCCACAUAAAAUUAUAUUUUGUAAAUUAUAAAUUAUAUAUGUUAUAUAUUAAGGAGAAAUAUAUAUUCAAGAAAGAAAGAAUAUCAUUUCAAUAUUGAUUUAAAGAUAGUUGCUUUUGGAAAGAGGAGAACUGAGAAAAUGACUGUAGUGCUUUGAGUAGAUUUGGCUUCUAUUCAUGUGUUUGAAUGUUUGGCCCAUAGGGAGUGACACUAUUAGAAGGUGUGUCCUUGUUAGAAUAGGUGUGUCCUUGUUGGAGGAAAUAUAUCACUGUGGGGGAGGGCUUUUAGGGCCUAUGUUCAAGGUCCACCCAGUGCAGAAGAGAGACUCUUCCUGGCGGCCUUCAGAUCAAGAACUCUCAGCUCCUUCUCCAACACCAUGUCUGCCUAAAUAUUGCCAUGCUUCCUGCUGUCAUGAUAAUGGACUGAAUCUCUGAAACUGUAGGCUAGCUCUAAGUAAAUAUGUUGUCCUUUAUAAGAGUGGUCUUGGUCAUGGUAUCUCUUCACAGCAAUGGAAAUCUUAACUAAGAAAAUGACCAUAGAGUAAGCCUUUGAAAAUAAGGGCAUAAUAGCAGAGUAUUGCCUGGUACACUCUGACUACUUGAUGUUACUUCCUGAACCAUAACCUGUUACCAGAGGUGUCACAUUAUAGUUUGACUGGAGUCACAUCCAGUAAGACCAGGGAUCACCUGAUAGUUUAGAUAAGUCUUCUCGGGUGACUCUAUACAGCUGUUACUAUGUUUGGCUUAUUUUCUGUUAAAUACAUUCAGAAAUUGUUUUCAUCUAGAUAGAGAUGGUAAAACUCUUGGCAGUGACUACACACACACACACACACACACACACACACACACAAAACC